CUUCUCUUUGGAAGGUACUUACUGCAGAGAAACAGGAAUCUUGCAGCGUUAUAUCUGCAAUGCUAAAUCUAUAGGAUGUGCCACAGAAUGAGCUACAUUUUCCUGCAGUAAUUCCAACAGUAAUUAAUGAAUAUUGGAAUAUCCAGCCAGAUCUGAGAAUUUCCCUCUGACUUGGUGAACACUGUUUGAAUUGCUGGAAUUUUUCAGAAUGAGAUUUCCAGCAAGUCUCCUCUGCAACAACAAACAUGAAGACAAAUUAUGCUCCUGGAAGAAAUGUCAGGUCAUUAACUUGAGACUUCAGACAUAUCAACUGUGACCAACAAGGCAUCAUUUUUUUCUUUUGCUUCUACUUCUACUUAGACAUGCUGGAAGCACUAGUGAUGCAUUAUUCAGCUUCCAGAUAAAUGUAGCUGCAAGCUAUGAGAAUCCAAACAUAUCUGUAUCCCUUAAAAGAUGGUGUUUGCUGACAUGGAAAGUCACCUGAAUAUAUACUUCAGAAUAAAUUCCUCCUCUGAGCAGAAUUCACUGUUACAGC
ensembl:lncRNA